rnacentral:rRNA from 1 species
AUGAAGAUCCUGAACUGGAACGUUCGUGGACUCGGCGAGGAUGAUAAGUGCUCGUUGGUCCGUGACACUAUAACUUCCUGCUGCCCUAGUGUUGUUUGUCUACAGGAAACAAAGCUGCCGUUCGUCUCCCCUCACAAGCUGCGAGCGUUUCUGCCAUCUCAUCUCAAGGACCAUGCCGUCAGCCCCUCCGAUGGCGCUGCCGGGGGGAUUUUGGUUGCAUGGGAUCCCACUGUGCUUCGGGGACAAGUGGUGGCUCUGCACAAAUUCCAUGUCACUCUGAAGAUGGAUUCUGCUGCAGACAAUACUGAGUUUCUUCUCAGAGCCGUUUAUGCGCCCUGUCCGAAUCAAGAACGACCGAGCUUCUUUGACGCUGUCAGUAGUGUCGCUUGCACGUCUGACUUGCCAUGGGUGAUGCUGGGUGACUUCAACAUGUACAGAUUUGCUCAUGAGAAAUCCCGGGGUCAGAUCAACUGGCAUUUGAUGGAAGUGUUUAACUCAUGGAUUCGAAGUCAUGACAUGGAUGACGUUCAGAUUGAUAACAGGCUCUUCACUUGGUCCAACAAGAGGGAUCAGCCUACUCUUGUUCGUCUUGAUCGAGUCCUCAUCAAUGCAGCUUGGAAUCUAAGCUUUCUGCAGUCAACUGCCUCCUGCAUUCCAACCACAACAUCUGAUCAUGCUCCUGUGCUUUUGUCAUUCUCCACAAGCACGCCCCAAAGCAAGUUAUUCCGCAUGGAAAAUCAUUGGCUGCUCUUGGAUGAACCCAGAAACAUCAUCUCUGAAGCUUGGUCUCGAGGAACUCGUGAGAUCUGUUCUGCUGCAUCUUGA